rnacentral:rRNA from 1 species
UACGAACCGUACGAACGUUAUUCGGAAUUACUGGGCUUAAAGGGUGCGUAGGCUGCGCGGAAAGUUGGGUGUGAAAUCCCUCGGCUCAACCGAGGAACUGCGCUCAAAACUACCGUGCUCGAGGGAGACAGAGGUGAGCGGAACUUAGGGUGGAGCGGUGAAAUGCGUUGAUAUCCUAAGGAACACCCGUGGCGAAAGCAGCUCACUGGGUCUCUUCUGACGCUGAGGCACGAAAGCUAGGGUAGCGAACGGG